GGACGGGCUGUGUUGGUCAAGUCGGUCAUCACGGCAAUUGCCAUUUACUACUUGACGGCGCUAGACCUACCUGCUCAGGUUAUCAAGAAGAUCGACUCCCUUAGGCGUGCCUAUCUUUGGGCAGGUUGUGACAAGGUCACAGGUGGCAAAUGCAAGAUCAACUGGGACCAGGUGUGCAAA
rnacentral:rRNA from 1 species